rnacentral:rRNA from 1 species
GACAGAGGUCCCGAGCGUUGUUCGGAUUCACUGGGCGUAAAGGGUGCGUAGGCGGUUGGGUAAGUCCGACGUGAAAUCCCGUGGCUUAACCACGGAAUUGCGUUGGAAACUAUCCAGCUCGAGGGUUGGAGAGGGGACUGGAAUUCUCGGUGUAGCAGUGAAAUGCGUAGAUAUCGAGAAGAACACCGGUGGCGAAGGCGAGUCCCUGGACAACUCCUGACGCUGAGGCACGAAAGCUAGGGGAGCAAACAGG